AGUUAAAAAAUAAAAGUGAAAAUUUGUGAAAAAAUAGAUUUAUCAAUUUUUUUUUGUAAAAACAAACACUAAUCAAAAUUUGCAAAAAAAAUUAAACAACGAACGGAAUAUACAAACAUAUUUUCAUUGUAAACGUCAUUAUCUAGUUACAAAACAAUUGCUUCGAACGAAUGCCAACGAGAAAAAAGCAACAAAAAUAAACUGCUGGCAACAAAAGUCAAUAAAACGAAGAAAAGAAAACACAAUAAUAAACAACAACGCGAAUAGAGAGAAAAAUUUAUUUGAAUUUUCUGUUUUAUUAACAUUAAAUAAACAACCUUUUUCAGUAUAAAAAGGCAGCUGUAUCUAAAUUGAAUUAAUUCAUCGCCUUUCCUCGAAAGUUUAGUCACUUUAUUCUGUUGCAUUUACUGAUUUUCGUAUUAUGAAUCUAUCAUUUGCUGGCUGCGGAUUUUUAGGCAUUUAUCAUGUUGGUGUGGCCGUUUGUUUUAAAAAGUAUGCCCCACAUCUGCUCCUAGAAAAGAUAGCUGGUGCAUCGGCUGGAGCUCUAGCAGCAUGUUGCCUUUUGUGCGAUUUGCCUUUGGGAAGCAUGACUUCUGAUUUUUUCCGUGUUGUUAAUGAAGCUCGCCGUCAUUCCUUGGGUCCAUUUAGCCCAUCUUUCAACAUUCAAACGUGUCUUUUUGAAGGUCUACAAAAGCAUUUGCCUGAUGAUGCUCAUAAACGAGUCAGUGGUCGCUUGCACAUAUCUAUGACCCGUGUAUACGAUGGCAAGAAUGUUAUUAUAUCUGAGUUUAAUUCGCGAGAUGAGGUUUUGCAAGCAUUAUUAUGUGCUUGUUUCAUUCCCGGCUUCUCUGGAAUACUACCACCACGCUUUCGGGGCGUCCGUUAUAUGGAUGGUGCAUUUUCGGACAAUUUACCAAUUUUAGAUGAAAAUACCAUAACUGUAUCGCCCUUCUGCGGAGAAAGUGAUAUAUGUCCACGCGAUCAAAGUUCCCAGUUGUUCCACCUUAAUUGGGCCAACACCAGCAUUGAGAUCUCCAGACAAAAUAUUAAUCGAUUCGUUCGUAUUCUCUUUCCGCCAAGACCAGAAUUUUUAUCGAAAUUCUGUCAGCAAGGUUUCGAUGAUGCUCUACAAUUUUUGACUCGUAACAAUUUAAUAAAUUGUCGCCGCUGUGUGGCUGUCCAGUCAACAUUUGUAGUUUCGGAAACAGUAGCUCAACCUCAAGAUUUCGAUCCGGAAUGUAGAGAAUGUAAAAAGCAUAGAAAGGAUGCAUUAACUUCUAAUAUGCCACAAACUGUAUUGGAUGUUAUACAAGAUUAUAUAGAGCAGGCUAAUAAGGGUCUGGCAAAUUGGAUAUUUAAACAUCGUGGCAUUAAGUUGUUAUCUUUGCCAGCUACGGUGCCAAUGGAUUUCUUUUUGGCUACAGUAUCUAAGCUUAGCUCACUUACACCAAAACUUACGAAACAAAUGCGGCAGAUGGUAGAAGAAUUUAUAUACCAAUUAAAUAAUACUCUCCAAGUGCGUAUAUUUAAUAAGUUUACGAUCUGUGAUCCACCUCAUUUCGAUACGACUGGUUUGUUACAUUCAAAGAGAUUAUAUGGGCCUAGAGUUUCAAUAUUAGUAGAUGAAUGUGGCGCAGCACCUUUAGAAGAUGAUGUUGAUCAUUUUGAACAUGUUUUGAAGGUUACAACCCACAAUGAUGCAUUGUAUGCUUAUUACUACACUGAUGAUAACACAAAUAAAGUAAAAGUAACCGAAAUAUUUGAUAUGACAGAAAAUAUGGAUCUAGCAACAGAUUUAAAACAGUACGAAGGCUCCGUUGAAGAUCAUCCCAAUCCACAUCAACAUCAUCACAACACUGUGGUUAGCGAAUGGAAUGGCGUUGAAUCGGUCCAGAUAAUACCUACACCACCAGAUUGUCGUGAAGAUAUUUUUUAAAAUUUUACACUACUUAAACAUCAAUUACUAAUAAUUCGCACUUAAAGAAACGACAACCACACCACCAACCAUCCACUAGAACACUAAUUUAUAUAAAUUCCUUUAAUACGAUUUGGUUAAUAAUAUUUAAAUUUAUUUUUAAUUUUAAUUAAAGAUUUCUUUAUUGAUCAACAAUCAUUGUCAUCAUCAGAUUCCAAAAUAGUUGAUGGCGAGAGUGAUAUGCCAAAUCAACUACUUAUUAUACCAAACGUCUCCCAAUCAGCAUCAACCGAAUCAUACAAUAAAUAUCAAAUAGC
rnacentral:misc_RNA from 1 species